UGUCUCAAAGAUUAAGCCUGCAUGUCUAAGUACAAGCCGUGUACACGGGGAGACUGCGGACGGUUCAUUAAAUCGGUUAUGAAUCCACUGGGGACAGACUCACCCGGGGAUAACGUGCGGUAACUCCGGUGCUAAUACAUGCAACAAGGCUCCGACCCCGUCCUCGGGCGGGGGAAGGGCGCACUUAUUAGGCGAAAACCAAUCGCUCGCUCGCGGGCGUUGGUGGACGACACCCGAGUAAUUGUCGCCGAUCGCAUGGCCUCCGAGCCGGCGACACCUUCACUGAGUUUCUGAUCUAUCAUGCUGACGACGGUUGGUGCUAUGCCAACCGUGGCGUUAACGGAUAACAGAGAAUCUGGGUUCGAUUCCGGAGAGGGAGCCUAUUAAACGGCUACCCCAUCUAAGGAAGGCAGCAGGCACGAAAAUUACCCAAUCCCAACUCGGGGAGGUAGUGACAAGAAAUAACGAUACGGGGUCUUUAUAGGUCUCGCAAGUGGAAUGAGUACAAUUUAAAUCCUUUAACGAGGAUCAAUUGGAGGGCAAGUCUGGUGCCAGCAGCCGCGGUAAUUCCAGCUCCAAUAGCGUAUAUUAAAGUUGUUGCAGUUAAAAAGCUCGUAGUUGGAUUUCGGAAUGGGCCAGUUGGUCCGCCGCAAGGGGAGUUACUGACUGGUCUGUUCUUCUUCGCAAAGACUGCGUGUGCGCUUCACUGUGUGUGCGUAGGAUUUACGACGUUUACUUUGAAAAAAUUAGAGUGUUCAAAGCAGGCUAUCGCUUGAAUACAUGAGCAUGGAAUAAUGGAAUAGGACUUUGGGCCUAUUUUGUUGGUUUCUAAGACCGAAGUAAUGAUUAACAGGGACAAUUGGGGGCAUCCCGUAUUUCGUUGUCACAGGUGAAAUUCUUGGAUUUACGUAAGACGAACUACUGCGAAAGCAUUUGCCAAGAAUGUUUUCAUUAAUCAAGAACGAAAGUCAGAGUGUGCGAAAGCGAUCAGAUACCGCCGUAGUUCUGACCGUAAACGAUGCCGACUGGCAAUUGGGCGCACUUCUGUCGAAGUUGCCGCCAGCAGUAUUCACCAGGAAACCAAAGUCAUUGGGUUCCGGGGGGAGUAUGGGUGCAAAGCUGAAACUAAAGGAAUUCACGGAAGGGCACCACCAGGAGUGGAUCCUCCGGCUUAAUUUGACUCAACACGGGAAACCUUACCCGGGCCGAACACUGGUAUGACAGACAGGGUGAGAGCUCUUUCUUGAUUCAAUGGGUGGUGGUGCAUGGCCGUUCUUAAUUCGUGGAGCGAUCUGUCUGGUUAAUUUCGAUAACCAACGAAACUUUUGCCUGCUAAAUAAACGGGGCCGGCCUUGCGUCGGCGACCGUUCGCUUUUUAAAGGGACAAGCGGCUUUUAGCCCCGUGAACCCGAAAGCAAUAACAGGUCUGUGAUGCAAGUACGGCGCCGCACGCGCGCUACACUGUUUGCAUCAGCGUGUUACUCCCGCGCCGAUGGGCGUGGGCAACCCGUUGAACCGCAAACGUGCUAGGGAUCGGAGAUUGCAAUUGUUCUCCGUGAACGAGGAAUUCCUUGUACUGGCGAGUCAUCAGCUCGCGGGGAAUCUGUCCCUGCCCUUUGUACACACCGCCCGUCGCUACUACCGAUUGAGUGGUUUAGUGAGGCUCACGGACUGCGCGCGGCAAACGACGUCUUCGGGCGCCGCGCCGCUGGGCUGAAAGUGAGACCAACUUGAUCACUUCUAGGAAGUAAAAGUCGCAACAAGGUUUUCGUAGGUGAACCUGCGGAAGGAUCANNCC
rnacentral:rRNA from 1 species